UCAAAUCAAAACAAAGAUGGCGGCCGGAAGUGACACAACUUCGCGUAGGAAGCGAGAAAGUGACGAAGGUUUGAAUGAAAAUAAGUGUUAACGGACAGAAAGAUUAACACAGAAACACGAAGACUAAAUAUGUAAAUGACAAAGCUAACGAGCGCCGAGCAGUUUGUACCGGCUGAACUGAACCGGGCCGCUAAACGUCCAUCUCACGGAGGGUUCGGUGUCCCCGCCGGAUGGGCUGUGAUUUUCACUCUGCGUCUUCCCGAGCUGCAGGCCUGGACUUGAAUCACCGUGUCAGAGAAGAGGAACAAAGACUGUCCUCCCGGCGAGCACGGUCAGUUUAAUGCCGCUUAAUGAGAAGCAGCCUGCAAUUAUCCACCCUGGAGGAGCAUCUGCAUAAAGAGGAGGGUUUCAGGCCCGUCUCCUCGUCGUCGUCCUGUUUACAGAACCCGAACUACAUAGGAAUACGUAGCUCCUCCCACCCGGCAGCUGUAGAUAAACUCCAGCGUCCUGUUGGAAUGAUUGACACACGCCCAUCAGGUUUAUCUGGCCUCUCCUGUUAGUCACGCCUCAACUCGUCCAAUAGGAAGGAGGAACCCGGCGCUGGAGUUCUCCCAGGUGGAGAGCUGAUUCAGACAGACUUUUCACAGUUUGAUCACCUGAAAAUCACCAAAGAUGACGCCGAGCGUCUGUCCAACGCUCCUGUCACUGCAGGAGGAGUUAGGGGCCGUCUGAAAAGGGCAACACGAUCCAUUUCAAUCAUCAAUAACUGUUUGGUUUUUCAAUAUAAAAAUGUGAGACCGCUGCCAGUAGAGAUAGAGACCACCCUGAAACAUUUCAAACCUGAGAGACUGUAAAGAAAUUUAAAUUUAUUAUUCAUUUAAUAAUUAAAUUAGCACAGUGAAGGUUGUCAUUUCAACAGUUGUCUCAUUUCUGAAUUCAUCUGUCCUGGACGUGCUCUCACAGCUGCUACUUGUUCUCUGUAAUGUUCAGAUGGGAUCGCGACACCCCAGAUUGUUCACAACUGUUAUAACAGCAGAGCUUUGGUAUUUAUAGAAGGAUAGUUUUUCUGUUCCUGCUGCUGUCUGAAGGCUCAGCAGAGGAAGGAACUUGGUUGGAAAUCCACUGGUUCGACCUCUAACCUUCUAAUUGGCUGUUUGUUUAGACGUUAACCUUGGAAAUGAGGCUUUUUCUGCGUUGGUACGUGAGCAGGAGCCAAAUGAAACGUCGUGAAGCUGAAAGAAAGCAAAAUUAAAACGUGUGUUUUCUCCCAGGACUCUGGUCUGUGGAGGAUAAUGAAGUUAUUAUUCAGUAGGGCCUCAGAGUGGGUGGCCCCUCUCAGUCUCCCAUGGGAACCUCACUCAGCCUGCUUUGAUGUACCUCCCCCCUCCUCCCCCCCCCCCCAAAACCAAGGCAGUCUUAAUACUGUAAUCCUCACAUGUAUAUACUGCUGCUAUAGGCCCCCCCCUCGUAAGACAAUUUUGUACAUUUUAAAGUUAAAUGCAUUAAUUUGGUGCAAAAUGAAGAGGUUAUCUAUGAAGAACUGUGCACUCCUGUAAACAAUGGUGUGCUCUAAUAAACUAUUUGACCAUAAACCCAUUGUAGAGCUUUAAAUGGUGACGAAACAGCGACAGUUCAACAAAUUUGUUUAAUGUUUUUCCAAAAACCCUAAGUCAAAGAAUAGAAACUAGAGUAAGUAAUUUCCCGAACAUUUUAUUGUUGUUGUUUUU